rnacentral:rRNA from 1 species
UGGGGAAUAUUGGACAAUGGGCGAAAGCCUGAUCCAGCCAUGCCGCGUGUGUGAAGAAGGUCUUCGGAUUGUAAAGCACUUUAAGUUGGGAGGAAGGGCAGUAAGCGAAUACCUUGCUGUUUUGACGUUACCGACAGAAUAAGCACCGGCUAACUCUGUGCCAGCAGCCGCGGUAAUACAGAGGGUGCAAGCGUUAAUCGGAAUUACUGGGCGUAAAGCGCGCGUAGGUGGUUCGUUAAGUUGAAGGUGAAAGCCCCGGGCUCAACCCGGGAACUGCAUCCAAAACUGGCGAGCUAGAGUAGGGCAGAGGGUGGUGGAAUUUCCUGUGUAGCGGUGAAAUGCGUAGAUAUAGGAAGGAACACCAGUGGCGAAGGCGACCACCUGGGCUCAUACUGACACUGAGGUGCGAAAGCGUGGGGAGCAAACAGG